rnacentral:rRNA from 2 species
GGAAAGAUGAAAAGGAACUUUGAAAAGAGAGUUAAACAGUACGUGAAAUUGUUGAAAGGGAAACGAUUGAAGCCAGUCGUACCGGUGGGUAAUCAGCCUUUCGGCGUGAUUAUGUGGAGCGUGAGGAGUUAAACGCCCUCAUGGCCUGCAUAUUCGUGUUCUUUGGGUGUACCUACCCGCAUGGUAGGUUAACAUCAAUUUCGAACGUCAUAAAAUGGUUGGGGGAAUGUAGCUUCGAUCUCGUAUUGAAGUGUUAUAGACUCCGGCGGAUGUGAUGAUCGGGAUUGAGGAUUGCAACGGAUACCCUUCGGGGCUACCCGUCUGAUCUCUGAAGGUUGCUCUGGUGCCGAAAGCUCGCUUACGGUCAUCAAAGUUGACAUUCAACAGGUUAGAACGGGAUAAAUUCGUUAAGGAUGUUGACGUAAUGGCUUUAAACGACCCGUCUUGAAACACGGACCA